AUCUGUGUACUCGAGUCCUCCUGAAGAGAAUCCUUGUCUUGGCCUGAGUAGAGAGAGCACUUGCAGAACUGGUAGCUGUUUCCUGUUGAUUGUGCUUCGUGAAAUCAGUUCCUAUACAUCUUCAACUGUGCGCUGUCUUUAUCUUGAACUGAAGGCAGAAGAAAUGAGUUUCCAUCUGCUUGCCAUACAAAUACUUAGGAAGCAUUUAAUUUCUUUUGCACUGGAACUUUUUUUUUUGCCUUUCCAUUGGGAUGUCCAUUGGAAGCAAAAUAAAAUCAAGCAAAAACCCAACCAACCAAAAUUAACAAACCCAGCAACAAAUCUGUUACUGUCUAAUGAGAAUAAAACAGUGUUAAUCAUACUUUGGCACAUAUGGAGGUAUAAUUUGGUUGUAGAUCAUAAAGAACUUAUGUCGAAUCCUAAGUCUGCCAUUGCAGUUUUGAUAUGCUGGUAUUAAAAUUACUCUAUGUAGUAAUUGAAUUAUUUCUUAUGAUGAACUCCAAACUCUGCAGUCACUUAAUAAAGACUUUUCUCAAUAUUUAAUAAACAUUUAUAAAGAUGUUCACAAUUUUUUCCUUGUGAUGCAACUAAGUGACCAACCUUACAUUAGAUGUCAGCUAAAAUGCAUAUUUUUAUUUCCAUUUUUGUAAUAUGUGGAAAAAACCCAAGUAGGCCACUGCACACAAGUCAGCAUGCACAACCUUAAUACAGAAAUAAACUGUUUAAAAUGAACUAUUCAAAUUGCAUCGGAUACUGUAUAUGUGGACCUGAUAUUAUGUGAUUAGACUGUACAUGGCCAAUAUUUUUCUGUGUAACUUGAUUUUAGACUCCAGUCAUGCAAAUGUACACACUUAGAUUUACUUAUGAGUAGAGUCAUUAACUGCAGCAGCUUGUUUACAAAGAACUAAAAAUUGCGUAUAAAUUCUCUCAGGAUUGGGACAUAAAUAUGUUGUGGUAAAUUGUUUUGUUGGAAUGAGUAUAAAC
ensembl:lncRNA